AUUGAACGCUGGCGGAAUGCUUUACACAUGCCAAGUCGAACGGUAGAGGGGGCAACCCCCUUGAGAGUGGCGAACGGGUGAGUAAUAUAUCGGAACGUGCCCAGUCGUGGGGAUAACGUAGCGAAAGUUACGCUAAUACCGCAUACGAUCUAAGGAUGAAAGCGGGGGACUCGCAAGAGCCUCGCGCGAUUGGAGCGGCCGAUAUCAGAUUAGGUAGUUGGUGGGGUAAAGGCUCACCAAGCCAACGAUCUGUAGCUGGUCUGAGAGGACGACCAGCCACACUGGAACUGAGACACGGUCCAGACUCCUACGGGAGGCAGCAGUGGGGGAAUUUUUGGACAAUGGACGCAAGUCUCGAUCCAGCCAUUCCGCGUGCAGGAUGAAGGCCCUCGGGUUGUAAACUGCUUUUGUACGGACGAAAAGGUUUCUAUUAUACUAGGAGCUCAUGACGGUACCGUAAGAAUAAGCACCGGCUAACUACGUGCCAGCAGCCGCGGU
rnacentral:rRNA from 1 species